rnacentral:rRNA from 1 species
GGAGUUUGGGCCGUGUCUCAGUCCCAAUGUGGCCGUACACCCUCUCAGGCCGGCUACUGAUCGUUGCCUUGGUGGGCCGUUACCUCGCCAACUAGCUAAUCAAACGCGGGUCCAUCUAUAAGCGAAAUUCUUUUCACACUGUAUCAUGCGAUACUGGUGUGCUUAUCGUGUAUUAGCAGUCAUUUCUAACUGUUGUUCACGUCUUAUAGGCAGGUUACCCACGCGUUACUCACCCGUCCGCCACUAGAAUUUCUAAACAUCCAGCGAACCUUCAGUCUAGAGUUCCCGUUCGACUUGCAUGUGUUAAGCACGCCGCCAGCGUUCAUC